AAAGGUAGCAUAAUCAUUAGAGGUUUAAUUGGAAUCUGGUAUGAAGGGUCGGACAAAGAAAAAACUGUCUUUGUAGGUUAAGUUGAAAUUUACUUUUAAGUGAAAAGGCUUAAAUAAAUCAAAGGGACGAUAAGACCCUAUAAAGGUUUAUAAAUAAUUUGAAUUCGGUUAAUUUAGGGAGAUAAAAAUUGAAUUUAAUUAUUUUAUUUUGUUGGGGUGACGUGAGUAUAACUAUUAUUAACUGCUUAAAAAAUAUUCUUUAAUCAAAGAAUUAUCAAUAAAUGAUCCUUUUUAAAGAUUAAAAGACUAAGUUACUUUAGGGAUAACAGCGUUAUUUCUUUUGAGAGUUCAUAUCGAAAAAGAAGAUUGCGACCUCGAUGUUGAAUUAAAAUAUCUAUAUAAUGCAGCCGUUAUAAAAGAAGGUCUGUUCGACCUUUAAAUU
rnacentral:rRNA from 1 species